CGGGGCCGGGCUUGUCCCCGCUCUGCCCAAUCAGCGCGCGCCAGAACCACGAGUGACGGCAGCAGCAGCCAAUCGCAGCCAGCGGCGGGCUCUGCACACGGCACAGCCCCGCCCCGCGCUCUCAGGGCCCGCCCCGGGCUGUGUGAGGGGAAGGGCGGAGAUGAGGAACAGGCCUGGAACGGGCCCGGCCCGAGCCGCCAUUGAGCUCCCAACACAAACAAAGUUCUCCGCAGCUCCCGGUCCGCCUUUCCCUGCCCUGGGUGUUCGGUGGCUCCGGCUCAGCAGGAAGCCCGGGAGCCUCACUUCUCCCAGCGCUAAUUAGGUGCCUCAGUGCAUCGCUCGGAUUUUCACCUAAAAAGCCGUGAACUGCCUGGCCUACGACGAGUGACUAUGGCGCAGCAGGACUGGAUCCAGCAGGAGUGCAGAACCCGCUGGUCUCGGAGCGCCUGGAGCUCUACAGGGAGUACGCCGAGGAUGACCACGUGUACCAGGAGAAGAUCAAGGAUCCACUGCAGAAAUAUUCCUACAUCUGCAAGAGGCGGCUGGACGGGAACUGCUUCUACUGCACCUGAAGGUACUGCUGGGGGACAGGCAAGAGCUGCAGCGGUGCGGACCCCCAGGGACCCCCAGAAACAGCCCCAGGGACCCCGAAGAAACACCCCCAGAGACCUCCCAAAAACAGCCCCGGAGACCCCCAAAAUACUCCCAGAGACCCCCAAAAAUACUCCCAGAGACCUCCAGAAACACCCCAGGGACCCCAAAAAUACCCCCAGGGACCCAAAAACACUCUGAGAGCCCCAAAACUCCCAGAGAGCGCCCAAAACACCCAGAGACUCCCUAAAGUCCCUAGAGACACCCCUCCACCCCCCAACUACCCGGAGACCUCCCCCAAAAGCCCCAGCC
rnacentral:lncRNA from 1 species